GUGGGUUAGGAGCCCAGUUCUGCACGUGGGUGGCGCGUUGAGUGAAGUUUGGUUUCUAGAAUUUUGUGUUAAUUAAAAAAGUUGGUGGCAAUCUGAUAUCAAUAGGGAAUUUGUUAAUUAAAAUAUAGUUAUGCACAUAUGAUAGAAUAUUUUGCAGCCCCGCCCACGCACAUCAGAAAUAAAAAAAUUCUUUUUGGUUUCUUUGCAAUAAUAGUACCAAUACUCUCUCCUUGAACUGUGCUGUUAUUUAUGGCUGGCGGGCAAGCUGUUAAAUCAAAGCUUUGCGGGUGAGACAAGAGCAGUUUCUUUCCGCAGGUCGAAUUAGAUUUAGGAACAAGCUGUGGAUAAAAUGACAGAAGGGUAAUGAUGAGUGAGCUUUCUUUGGGCCAAGUGGGUCUGUGAUAGGAGCUGGUGUGGUGGUCACUUGCAAAAGAACUCUCCUUAAGAAGGUCUUCUCCCAGAGGCGAGGAGCCCUCUGCAGAGGGGGUUAGGGCUGUACAGUUAAGAUGCAGAAGUUGAGGGGGUGUUGUUAGGGGCUUGCUGGAGGAGAGGCAUUGAAUGAGGAACCUCUGAAAAUGCUCCACAGAAAGAAUCAGCCCUGCGAACUUGCCACACCUGGAAGGCGCCACUGUUCUCCGGGUUUCCCAGGCGGGAGUCAGAGGACAAUUCGCAGCUACUCCUGAACUGCAAGCUCUCUGAGGGAUCCUGCGCAGAUCCCCUUCCCUAAGCUUGAAGCUAGAGGCAGGCCUCAGACACCCACCCACUGCCUUCGGUGGAGGCUCAUCAGGGCUCUCUACGCUUAGCCUUUCACGUCUUCGUUAUAGGCAGGAUGAUGGAUUCAAGGAGUUUUAAGCCAUAUCCUCCUUUGCAAAUGCACCAGGAUGGUCUGGUUCGCUACUCAUUUUGAAAUAUUGAUUCAUGCCUCCCGAAGAGGAAGAGUUCUGGUUUGAUGCUGCAGCAUUGUGCAAAUCAACUUGCAGGAGCAAGCAAACCUUUCAUGGAAGAGAAGAGCUUGCUCAACUCUUGCAGAAACUGAGGCUACCGCUAGAUUCAGACUUGUCCAAAUCCUGGUUCCACCCACGGGCAGAGCUCAGUUCUAAGCAGUUCUUUCUCAGUGUGCUUCCUGUGGGUGCCAUUAUAUUGAGAGAGCUGAAUUCAAAGGAGUGCCAGCAGAGGGGAACUGUGUCCUUCCCUAUUGACUAUCUCAGGCAGAUCCUGUAACUUCUUUAGUCAUCUCAGAUAAUAAAAAGUCCUCAAGUCGUUUUCAGACCCAAGGGUAAUCUUUGAGUAAUUAAAAUUCUAGUUGAGUGUCAUCAUGAUGUAACAGCUUUCCCUUAUCCAUUUGAAAGCUCGUUUGCACCUUCGUUUCAAGCCUGAUUAAAAAAAUAUCAAACCACACAGAAGAGUUUAUUAAAAAAGCAAUAGUCACCUGCCCCACCCCUCUCCCCAUCCUCAGGCUCACCGCCCAAGAAGGAGCCGUUGAUAAACUCUUGUUCGUUUUUGUGUUUGAGUGGUAAAUUUUAGUUGUAGGCAAAUUUACUUCAACCUCAGCUUCUCAGUUAGUACUCAGGUUCUCCCACCUGGCAGUGUUAAUGUUUUGGAGAAAUGAGGGGAGACCCCUUACAGACAAGCUGCGGCACUUGAGCCCUCUCACCUGGACCUUGCCCCGCUGAUGGUUUUGAGACAGCAGGUAAACUGAAGGCCUGUAUGAAGCACCAGAACUCCAGGCUUGCUGCUGUGGUUUUUUUUAAGGCCAUUUGUUUAAAAGCUUUUUAAAAAUAGGAGUGAUGGUUUGUCAGAAGUCAUGCUUUGGUAACUUUUUGGACCCAAAAGCCUGCUCUUGUAAGCCUGGCUGCGGUAGUAUUUGCAUGCAUUGGGUGUGGCUUUGAUUGCACUGCACUCAUGUGUUUGUUAAGUCUGUCUCUUGGGAGCAAUGCUCCUCCUGUGCCUUACUGUGUACAAAGAAUUGACUCAGUACAGCUUGUGCUGCCUUAAGACCAAGACCCUGACAGCGGACCCUCCUUGCUCUUUUAGCCACGCCUUCUGAGGCAGCUCUUCUGCAAGUCUGAGUUCUUAAUGAAGAUGUGUGCUUCAAUGUGCCAAUUUCUUCAAGCACUUUUAACAAUGAAGGCACAAUGUUCUUCUCUCAGUUUCUACAGAAUGUCACGCUCCUUCCUGCUACAAGCCUUUGCCCAGGCUGUGUUUUCUGAUUGGAAUAUCCUCCCCACUUCCCACCUUCCGUGCACUUCCCAGCCUCCCUGUGCAGAGGAACACUGGACACACUUUAGCACUAUGCUUGGGGCCCUGUGAAAGCACCACAAAAAGCACAACAAUGUGGAAAACGUGGCACUAAAUAAACCAUGGAAAGGACAUUUGUUUACAGGAUGAGAUCUGAAACAAGAAGGCAGAACAUCGCCUUGUUCAACCUCAGCUGGGAACGCGAGCAUUGGGCAACUCAGAAUUCACCCUGCUUUUCAAAUGUCAGUGAAUGAAGCCAAGAGUUCCUGAGUAUUGAUUUUGGGAGAUACAAACAAGUUUUAGCAAAUAGACAAAUUUAGGGGCUGGCCCUGUGGCAGAGUGGUUAAGUUCACACGCUCUGCUUUGGCGGCCCAGGGUUUCGCUGGUUUGAAUUCCAAAAGGUGCUUCCCAGACCAGUGUUAAAUGGGUGCUGAGCUAUGAGGAUUCUGUGGGAAGUCAGUUUGGGAAAUGCUGAUGUCAAGAAAUCCUCUGUGUCUCUGGUAUUUGAAAAAAGCCAGUGCUUCCGAUUCUUAUAGUUAGGCUUUGAUGGGAACAGACUCACUUGUGCCAAAAUAGAGGCCAGAACCAGCAUCCCUUUUGCAGUUGUAUAUUUUGUGUUUUGUUAUCUUGCUUUUCCAAGCUCUCAUAGCCCAUUUUACUGCAUCUCAUUAGAUGGGGCACAAUUUCAUCUUUUUGACAAACACUGACAAACAUGAUUAAGCAGAAUUAAGCUUGCCUGUUUUUCUAGAUAUUGCACAGAUUUUACAAGAAGCUUUCACCUGAAAAGAUGCCAUGGAAAAGUUUAGUAAAUUCCUUGGUUCAGUCAGUACCUCCAGUCAGUUCAUGAAAUUUUGCAUUCCUGCAGGCCCUGUUCUGGGCUUCCUCAUGCCCUCUCUCUCUAGGCAUUUACUAGGAGCUUAAUUUGACAAGAGGCCAUGGGCUGUUCUCAAUUCAAAUAAUUUCAAAAUCUCUUAUCAGAUGCCUCUUUUGGAAACAUCAACAAUUUCUGAACUGUCAAUGCUACAAUAUAAACAACGCUGGUACAUUGUUAAUCAUGGAAAUAAUUUCUAGUCCCAGUAAAACUGACCCCAGGGAAGUUUGUUGUGGUGACAUGUUUUUCACUUGGGAUCGCUUAAGACUCAACUACAGCUGUUGGCCGUCCGCAGCCUGACAUUGGAAUUGUCUCAUUUUCUGAGACGUGAGCAUUAUAGGUUACAUCUGGUAUGGCAAAACAUUAUUUGAUAAUGGGCACAAUGUCGUUUCAACUACAUACAACUUCUGACAAUGAAUAUGUAUAAUUUUUGCCUUUCAGAAUUUAUCUUCUCUCCCUGUUCCCAUAUGUUUUUCUUUUAACCUUUGAAUUGGAAAAAAGACCCAACCACUCUAGUUGAGAAUAUCCUCGUGGUAUGGUUUUAUGUGCUUUGUUUAAUAUUCUGUCAUUAUUAAAGAAUCAAAACCUAACAGAUAAUA
rnacentral:lncRNA from 1 species